rnacentral:rRNA from 1 species
GUCAACGACCAUACCAUGCUGAACAUACCGGUUCUCGUCCAAUCUCCGAAGUCAAGCAGCGUAGGGCCUGGUCAGCACUAAGAUGGGAGGAACUUCGGGAAUACCGGGUGCUGUAGGCU